rnacentral:snRNA from 1 species
AUCACUUCUCCGCCUUUUGGCUAAGGUAGGCUGUAGUAUCUGUUCUUAUCAGUUUAACAUCUGAUAUGUCUGUUAUGUGAGGAUAGCAUAUUAAAUUGAUUUUUGAAACAGGGAGGUGGAAGAGGGGCUUGCUCCAUCCACUCCAUGCAUCAGCCUGGUAUUGCAGUACUUCCAAGAAUGGUGCACUGAAA